rnacentral:rRNA from 1 species
GACCUGCGGAAGGAUCAUUACUAGAGCAAAGGACAGGCAGCGCCCCACAGAAGCUUGCUUCGUGGCGGGGCUACCCUACUUCGGUAGGGUUUAGAGCCGUCGACCCUCUCGGAGAAGGUCGGUCCUGAACUCCACCCUUGAAUAAACUACCUUUGUUGCUUUGGCGGGCCGCCUCGCGCCAGCGGCUUCGGCUGUUGAGUGCCCGCCAGAGGACCACAACUCUUGUUUUUAGUGAUGUCUGAGUACUAUAUAAUAGUUAAAACUUUCAACAACGGAUCUCUUGGUUCUGGCAUCGAUGAAGAACGCAGCGAAAUGCGAUAAGUAAUGUGAAUUGCAGAAUUCAGUGAAUCAUCGAAUCUUUGAACGCACAUUGCGCCCUCUGGUAUUCCGGGGGGCAUGCCUGUUCGAGCGUCAUUAUAACCACUCAAGCUCUCGCUUGGUAUUGGGGUUCGCGGUUUCGCGGCUCCUAAAAUCAGUGGCGGUGCCUGUCGGCUCUACGCGUAGUAAUACUCCUCGCGUCUGGGUCCGGUAGGUCUACUUGCCAGCAACCCCCAAUUUUUACAGGUUGACCUCGGAUCAGGUAGGGAUACCCGCUGAACUUAAGCAUAUCAAUAAGCGGAGGAAAGAAACCAACAGGGAUUACCUCAGUAACGGCGAGUGAAGCGGUAACAGCUCAAAUUUGAAAGCUAGCUCUUUUAGGGUUCGCAUUGUAAUUUGUAGAAGAUGCUUCGGGUGUGGCCCCGGUCUAAGUUCCUUGGAACAGGACGUCAUAGAGGGUGAGAAUCCCGUAUGUGACUGGGUGCUUUCGCUCAUGUGAAGCUCUUUCGACGAGUCGAGUUGUUUGGGAAUGCAGCUCAAAAUGGGUGGUAAAUUUCAUCUAAAGCUAAAUAUUGGCCAGAGACCGAUAGCGCACAAGUAGAGUGAUCGAAAGAUGAAAAGCACUUUGGAAAGAGAGUUAAACAGUACGUGAAAUUGUUGAAAGGGAAGCGCUUGCAACCAGACUUGCGCGCUGAUGAUCAUCCGGGCUUCUGCCCGGUGCACUCGUCUGCGCUCAGGCCAGCAUCGGUUUCGGUGGUGGGAUAAAGGCCUUGGGAAUGUAGCUCCUCUCGGGGAGUGUUAUAGCCCUCGGUGCAAUGCCGCCUACCGGGACCGAGGACCGCGCUCGGCUAG